AUCCAGUGACGAGUCCCAGAUAGGACGAAAUGCGCGUUGUCCUGGAU
rnacentral:hammerhead_ribozyme from 1 species